rnacentral:rRNA from 1 species
GAACGAACGCUGGCGGCGCGUUUAAGCAUGCAAGUCGAGCGGCAAGGGCCUUCGGGCCCCUAGAGCGGCGGACGGGUGAGUAACACGUGGACAAUCUGACCCCCCGGCCCGGGAUAGCCCAGGGAAACCUGGAUUAAUACCGGAUGAGACGGGACCCGCGAUGGCGGGAUCCGGGAAAGGCGCUGCGGCGCCGCCGGGGGAUGAGUCUGCGUCCCAUUAGCUAGACGGCGGGGUAACGGCCCACCGUGGCGACGAUGGGUAGCCGGCCUGAGAGGGUGGACGGCCACAUUGGAACUGAGACACGGUCCAGACUCCUACGGGAGGCAGCAGCUAAGAAUCUUCCGCAAUGGGCGAAAGCCUGACGGGAAGCGACGCCGCGUGAACGAAGAAGGCCGUGAGGUUGUAAAGUUCUUUUCGGGAGGGGGAACAACCGUGGCAGGGAAUGGCCGCGGGAUGACGUGAAUCCCGGAGUAAGCCCCGGCUAACUACGUGCCAGCCGCCGC